UACAGAGGGGGCAAGCGUUGUUCGGAAUUACUGGGCGUAAAGCGCGUGUAGGCGGCUUUGCAAGUCGGGCGUGAAAUCCCAUGGCUCAACCAUGGAAGUGCACUCGAAACUGCAGAGCUAGAGUCCUGGAGAGGAAGGUGGAAUGCUUGGUGUAGAGGUGAAAUUCGUAGAUAUCAAGCGGAACACCGGUGGCGAAGGCGGCGACCUGGACGAUGACUGACGCUGAGACGCGAAAGCGUGGGGAGCAAACAGG
rnacentral:rRNA from 1 species